AUUCAAGUGGUGAUGCUGAAGAUCUUGACCCGCCCCUCCAUGAUCGACCAUGGAUUGAGCCCUAUGGUAAAGGGUUUAUUCCAUCUAGGGUUGCUUCCCAGGCCAUCACACGUUCAAUAAAGCAACAGUUUUUAACUCCAUGGCCUACUUGGGGAGCAAUACCUCAUGACGACAGAAAGCCAUUCUGGCAGCGCUUUCAGAUGAAGGUGCAGUGGAAACCUGAACAUGAAACUCAGAUACACAGAAAUUUCCACAUGAAAGCAUCUCAUCGGCUGUCAGAGAUGUUUAGGGAUGCCCGGAAUGUAG